GUGCACCAGGCGAGAAUACUUUACAAUGUGCGAAAGCACGAUAAGGGAACUCUGAGUGCCUCCUAAGGAGGCUGUUCAGGUGUCUAAAAGCACCUGAAGGAAGGGCUGGGUAAGACCGGUGCCAGCCGCCGCGGUAACACCGGCAGCCCAAGUGGUAGCCACGUUUAUUGGGUCUAAAGCGUCCGUAGCCGGCUGGGUAAGUUCCUUGGGAAAUUUGGCUGCUUAACAGUCAAGCUUUCAGGGAAUACUGCCCGGCUUGGGACCGGGAGAGGUCAGAGGUACUCCAGGGGUAGGUGGAAGU
rnacentral:rRNA from 1 species